rnacentral:tRNA from 1 species
UUUGGAGUAGGUUAAUUUAAGACUAUAGGUGUCAUGAGCCUAAGGUGCUUCCGGGCCUCCGAAG